UACGUAGGGGGCAAGCGUUGUCCGGAUUUAUUGGGCGUAAAGAGCGUGUAGGCGGCCAUACAGGUCCGUUGUGAAAACUGGAGGCUUAACCUCCAGACGUCGAUGGAAACCGUAUGGCUAGAGUCCGGAAGAGGAGAGUGGAAUUCCUGGUGUAGCGGUGAAAUGCGCAGAUAUCGGGAGGAACACCUAUGGUGAAGGCAGCUCGCUGGGACGUUACUGACGCUGAGACGCGAAAGCGUGGGGAGCAAACAGG
rnacentral:rRNA from 1 species